UUGGUGGCGAUAGCGAAGAGGUCACACCCGUUCCCAUGCCGAACACGGAAGUUAAGCUCUUCAGCGCCGAUGGUAGUCGGGGGUUUCCCCCUGUGAGAGUAGGACGCCGCCAAGC
rnacentral:rRNA from 2 species